GGCUCAGGAUGAACGCUAGCUACAGGCUUAACACAUGCAAGUCGAGGGGCAUCAGGAAGAAAGCUUGCUUUCUUUGCUGGCGACCGGCGCACGGGUGAGUAACACGUAUCCAACCUGCCCUUUACUCGGGGAUAGCCUUUCGAAAGAAAGAUUAAUACCCGAUAGCAUAAUGAUUCCGCAUGGUUUCAUUAUUAAAGGAUUCCGGUAAAGGAUGGGGAUGCGUUCCAUUAGGUUGUUGGUGAGGUAACGGCCCACCAAGCCUUCGAUGGAUAGGGGUUCUGAGAGGAAGGUCCCCCACAUUGGAACUGAGACACGGUCCAAACUCCUACGGGAGGCAGCAGUGAGGAAUAUUGGUCAAUGGGCGCUAGCCUGAACCAGCCAAGUAGCGUGAAGGAUGAAGGCUCUAUGGGUCGUAAACUUCUUUUAUAUAAGAAUAAAGUGCAGUAUGUAUACUGUUUUGUAUGUAUUAUAUGAAUAAGGAUCGGCUAACUCCGUGCCAGCAGCCGCGGUAAUACGGAGGAUCCGAGCGUUAUCCGGAUUUAUUGGGUUUAAAGGGAGCGUAGGUGGACUGGUAAGUCAGUUGUGAAAGUUUGCGGCUCAACCGUAAAAUUGCAGUUGAUACUGUCAGUCUUGAGUACAGUAGAGGUGGGCGGAAUUCGUGGUGUAGCGGUGAAAUGCUUAGAUAUCACGAAGAACUCCGAUUGCGAAGGCAGCUCACUGGACUGCAACUGACACUGAUGCUCGAAAGUGUGGGUAUCAAACAGGAUUAGAUACCCUGGUAGUCCACACAGUAAACGAUGAAUACUCGCUGUUUGCGAUAUACAGUAAGCGGCCAAGCGAAAGCAUUAAGUAUUCCACCUGGGGAGUACGCCGGCAACGGUGAAACUCAAAGGAAUUGACGGGGGCCCGCACAAGCGGAGGAACAUGUGGUUUAAUUCGAUGAUACGCGAGGAACCUUACCCGGGCUUAAAUUGCAGUGGAAUGAUGUGGAAACAUGUCAGUGAGCAAUCACCGCUGUGAAGGUGCUGCAUGGUUGUCGUCAGCUCGUGCCGUGAGGUGUCGGCUUAAGUGCCAUAACGAGCGCAACCCUUAUCUUUAGUUACUAACAGGUUAUGCUGAGGACUCUAGAGAGACUGCCGUCGUAAGAUGUGAGGAAGGUGGGGAUGACGUCAAAUCAGCACGGCCCUUACGUCCGGGGCUACACACGUGUUACAAUGGGGGGUACAGAAGGCAGCUAGCGGGUGACCGUAUGCUAAUCCCAAAAUCCUCUCUCAGUUCGGAUCGAAGUCUGCAACCCGACUUCGUGAAGCUGGAUUCGCUAGUAAUCGCGCAUCAGCCACGGCGCGGUGAAUACGUUCCCGGGCCUUGUACACACCGCCCGUCAAGCCAUGGGAGCCGGGGGUACCUGAAGUACGUAACCGCAAGGAUCGUCCUAGGGUAAAACUGGU
rnacentral:rRNA from 1 species